rnacentral:rRNA from 1 species
AUUGAACGCUGGCGGCAGGCCUAACACAUGCAAGUCGAGCGGAUGAAGGGAGCUUGCUCCUGGAUUCAGCGGCGGACGGGUGAGUAAUGCCUAGGAAUCUGCCUGGUAGUGGGGGAUAACGUCCGGAAACGGGCGCUAAUACCGCAUACGUCCUGAGGGAGAAAGUGGGGGAUCUUCGGACCUCACGCUAUCAGAUGAGCCUAGGUCGGAUUAGCUAGUUGGUGGGGUAAAGGCCUACCAAGGCGACGAUCCGUAACUGGUCUGAGAGGAUGAUCAGUCACACUGGAACUGAGACACGGUCCAGACUCCUACGGGAGGCAGCAGUGGGGAAUAUUGGGCAAUGGGCGAAAGCCUGAUCCAGCCAUGCCGCGUGUGUGAAGAAGGUCUUCGGAUUGUAAAGCACUUUAAGUAGGGAGGAAGGGCAGUAAGUUAAUACCUGGCUGUUUUGACGUUACCAAAAGAAUAAGCACCGGCUAACUACGUG